rnacentral:rRNA from 1 species
UACGUAGGUGGCAAGCGUUGUCCGGAAUUAUUGGGCGUAAAGCGCGCGCAGGCGGUCCUUUAAGUCUGAUGUGAAAGCCCACGGCUCAACCGUGGAGGGUCAUUGGAAACUGGGGGACUUGAGUGCAGGAGAGAAGAGUGGAAUUCCACGUGUAGCGGUGAAAUGCGUAGAGAUGUGGAGGAACACCAGUGGCGAAGGCGCCGCUCUGGGCCGAGACUGACGCUGAGGAGCGAAAGCGUGGGUAGCAAACAGG